rnacentral:rRNA from 1 species
GACGAACGCUGGCGGCGUGCUUAACACAUGCAAGUCGAACGGAAAGGCCCUGCUUGCCGGGUACUCGAGUGGCGAACGGGUGAGUAACACGUGGGUGAUCUGCCCUGCACUUUGGGAUAAGCCUGGGAAACUGGGUCUAAUACCGGAUAGGAGCCACUUUUAGUGUGAUGGUUGGAAAGUUUUUUCGGUGUAGGAUGAGCUCGCGGCCUAUCAGCUUGUUGGUGGGGUAAUGGCCUACCAAGGCGGCGACGGGUAGCCGGCCUGAGAGGGUGGACGGCCACAUUGGGACUGGGAUACGGCCCAGACUCCUACGGGAGGCAGCAGUGGGGAAUAUUGCACAAUGGGCGCAAGCCUGAUGCAGCGACGCCGCGUGGGGGAUGACGGCCUUCGGGUUGUAAACUCCUUUCGCUAGGGACGAAGCUUUUUGUGACGGUACCUAGAUAAGAAGCACCGGCUAACUACGUG